AUUGAACGCUGGCGGCAGGCCUAACACAUGCAAGUCGAGCGCGAAAACACUUCGGUGUGAGUAAAGCGGCGGACGGGUGAGUAACGCGUAGGAAUCUACCUAGUAGUGGGGGACAACUCGGGGAAACUCGAGCUAAUACCGCAUACGCCCUACGGGGGAAAGCGGGGGACCUUCGGGCCUCGUGCUAUUAGAUGAGCCUGCGUUGGAUUAGCUAGUUGGUGGGGUAAAGGCCUACCAAGGCGACGAUCCAUAGCUGGUCUGAGAGGAUGAUCAGCCACACCGGGACUGAGACACGGCCCGGACUCCUACGGGAGGCAGCAGUGGGGAAUAUUGCGCAAUGGGCGAAAGCCUGACGCAGCCAUGCCGCGUGUGUGAAGAAGGCCUUCGGGUUGUAAAGCACUUUCAAUUGGGAGGAAAGGUUCACGGUUAAUAACUGUGAGCUGUGACGUUACCUUUAGAAGAAGCACCGGCUAACUCCGUG
rnacentral:rRNA from 1 species